UGAACAUGGGAGUGUGACUGUUUCUUCGAGU
rnacentral:piRNA from 1 species